rnacentral:lncRNA from 1 species
UACAUAAUUUUCAAUCCCGAAUAUGUUUUUUUUUACUAAUAUGACCCAUAACCUUAUAAUUUGAUCAUCUAUUCUAAGAUAUUUUCGAGAUAAGCCAGAAUAGAGGUCAACAUAGGAUAAACCCAACCUCUUGAGUUAUCCAAUCGUAAAUAUAUAAAAAUCACAUAAAUCUUCACGAAGUUGUAGACAUGGACUUGUAAAUCUCCUGAACAAGCCGUUUAUCAAACUCCGACGCGGCAUGUGCUUUCGGCGUUCUCUUGUCGCCGAAAGCCGUAGCUCCAUUCCCACCCAGACUAAUCAUCAUGUUAUAGUACCCAUCCUUCAUUUUCCUCCACAGCUUAAACGACGACGUUUGAUCACCCUUGGAGCCUUCGUGAUUCUUGUUGGCGUCUCCGAAUCGGACGCUCUUGAUGUGCUUUCGCGUGGGUGUUGAACCGCCGCUGGUUGAGCCGGAGGUGUCGUAGUAGUUGCCGUUGUAGCCGCUUCGUUUUGAUCCCCGCAAGCUAUCUCGCACGGAGGUUGAUGAGAAGCGCUCCAUUUUGGUUGUUUGUGUUGUGUUCAGAUUGGGGGGAGCGUGAAUAUAUAGGGAUGAAAUGAAAAUAUGUCGACUGUAUGAUUGUGGGGGAAGAAGUCAAAAUAAGCGGUUUGGCACUUUAAUUGAAGAGGCUUUUGGAGAAAAGUCGGAUCAAGGAAGGACAAAUUUUUGUGUAUAGUUGGCCGCUUGGCUUUGGCGUGCGUGGAGCACCUCUUCGCGACAUAUUUUUUUCGAAAACACUUCAUUCAUGUAUAUAAAUGGUUAUAAAAUUUCACCAAAUAAAAUAUAUCAUAUUUGGAUAAUAUUAUGUAGGGUCCUGUUCUCUGACAACUGUGUGUCAGGAACAUUCAACCAACACAAAAAAAAAAUUAAAUAAUCCGCGAUUUUUUUACGUGGAAUGACUGGACUAUACUUGCUUUCCGCGGUUAUUUUACGCGGUACGGGUCUCUGGAUCCGCUGAAAAGAAACACGGACGUACAAAUGAACCCUACUCCUCAGACUCUCCUUCACCUCAUCCUCACAGACGUCUCUCUUCCGGUCUCUCUCUCAGAAUGGACUCAACUGUAACCCCAAGAAGGCUUUGUUUCAUUGAAGAAGACGAUAGUCUUGCUUUUCUUAUUGACAUGGAAGCUGGUUUUUCUGGAUCUCAUAACCAAAACAACAACCAAAUCAACCAUAACCAACACAACCACUUCAUCUCAAGGCAUGUGUAUUACUCAAGAAAAGCACUUGGUGAUAACAAAGACUUCAUGUAUAGGUUUGUAAUCAAAGUUUCAAUCCCUUAAAUUUGGGGUCGCUCAAAACAGUGAAAAGAUGAUAAAUCAAUGGUUGAAUAUAUAGAAAACUGUUUUCUUAAUUUAAAUUGAUUGUGCUGAGUGAUAAUAUCCGUCCAUCCGCGUUUCUUUUCGGCGCAUCUAGAGACCCGUACCGUGUAAAAUAAACGCGGAAGCAAGCCCAGCUCAGUCAAUCCGCGUAAAAGAACAGCAGAUCGAUUAAAUUUUUGGCUGGGAAGCAGUGUGUUGAUUAAAUGUUUCCUAACACACAGUUGUCAGGGAACAGUACCCUAUUAUGUAUCUCAAUAUUUGUUUUCAAAUUUUUUUCAAAAUAACGCUGUAUUAAAUUUUUUUUCUCAAAUGACGUGACAAGCAUGUGAUUAAAUUUAAUUGGAUGAUUGAUGUGUAUAUAGAAGUCCCACUAUUAAUAACCCCUAUUAUUAUUAAUAUGAGAUAGAUCUAUAAUACAUUUCCAGUUAGAUUGGAAGAAAUUUUGAGAAAAUCUUCUGAGAUUAACAUUUUCCAUCGUGUUUUAGUUAGGAUGGAGCUCUCAUGUGAAUAACACUGAAUGACAUAUAUCCUUUUAAUUAUUAGUAGGUUAUUUAUAUAAAAUAUUAUAAAUGAUUUUCUACAUGUGACAUUAGUCUAUUUUAUACUUAAAACAAUAUAUAUAUAUAGACACACACAUCGGUUUGCUUGAUUGGUUGAUCGAGAAUCUGACAUUGUUAUUUUUAAAAAAUACGAAAUUUUUUCAGUCCUAUCUACUCCAUUUUAAUAAUAAUAAUCUAUACUAUACUAUAAUAAGCCAACAUGAGUAUAAUUUGUAGUCCAAGGUUUUAGUUAUAUUUUUUGGUUUGGUACUGUCCUUUUGGUACUAUAACUCUACAAAUGUGGAGUCUAAAAACACUCAUAACAAUCCAUUAUCAUAUAAUAAUUAAACAGUUUCAAAUACUGAAAACACUGAUAAAAAUACAUUAUAUAAUAUUUCAUCAAAAAAAUUAUAAUGAUGUUAUAAAUAAAAUUAUAAAUAUACAAUUUUGAAUAUUUUUUUAACAACCUUCAUAUAACUCUUUUUAACUUUAACGUAUUAUAUUUCAAGAUAAACAGGAAUCAUUACAUAACCAUUUCUAACUCUAAUCUUAAAAGUUAUUGUUGUCAAAAAAACCAAGAUUACAAAAUUAUGUUGAAAUUCGAUUGAUUAGAUUACUGAAUCUUUCAAAAGUAUUACACGAUCGGUUAUGUUUGGAAAAGAUUUGAAUUUUCUGAUUUUUUUAUUUUUAAAUCUACGUGUACUAAAUUUGGAUAAAAUGUACUAAUAUCCUGAUAUGAAAAUAUAGUCAGUUGAAUAAUAUAAUUUAAUUAAAACUCAAUCCAUUAAUACUAAAAUAUUAAUAAAAUGAUGUUAAAUUUUAAAAUAUAAAUAAUAAAUUACGACUAUAUAUCCGCCCGUGCUUCGCACGGGUUAAAGGCCAGUACUCUUGAAAACACCAAGUCUAUUAAUUUUACAAGAAGGAAUCGAUUCAUCAAAAUUAUGUAUCGACUUGUUAAAGAAAUAAUAUUUAAACCAAAUUGUUAGCGAAACUAAUCACCAUAUCUGAAUUUAGGUUGGGAGGGCUUCGAGGUGCUGUCAACAUAUUCUUAAUUAUGAAAUUAAUGACCGGAUAUCUUUAUUAUAUUUAUAUAAAGGAGGUUCUUGGGGUGGAUGACGUGGCAGCUCCCAAAAUCCUUCCUCUAAUAUUCCUGUUUUCCUAGCAAUUGUCUGAUAUUUUUGAUUUUUUAUUGAUUUUUUUAUUUAUUCACUAUUUUUAUAGCUUAUUAAUUAUUAUCAGAUACGAGCUUUUGGUUUUCUAUUUCGCGUGUCCUUUUGUUGUUCGGAUCUCGAGUGGCUUCUCUUCCAGGCUCUCAGUGUGUGCAAUUCUAUAUACCAUCUCUCUCGCUCUCUACAUUUUUUAAUUCGAUCUAAUUUUGUUUGCUCCUUUAUUUGAAUCUUAGGCUUUUAUUUAGGUGAUAAGUCAGCGUUAUCCCAGCAGAAUUUACAAGCCGGUGGAAUGAAUCAUGGUGAAGAAACCUCCCGUAUUCAGUGUAUUACUCUCUCCCUCCCU